GAUGAACGCUGGCGGCGUGCCUAAUACAUGCAAGUCGAGCGAACAGACGAGGAGCUUGCUCCUCUGACGUUAGCGGCGGACGGGUGAGUAACACGUGGAUAACCUACCUAUAAGACUGGGAUAACUUCGGGAAACCGGAGCUAAUACCGGAUAAUAUAUUGAACCGCAUGGUUCAAUAGUGAAAGACGGUUUUGCUGUCAGUUAUAGAUGGAUCCGCGCCGCAUUAGCUAGUUGGUAAGGUAACGGCUUACCAAGGCAACGAUGCGUAGCCGACCUGAGAGGGUGACCGGCGACCUGGGGACUGCGAUGCGGCCCAGGCUGCUACGGGAGGCAGCAGGGGGGAAUAUUGCACAAUGGGCGGAAGGCCGAUGCAGUAACGCCGCGUGCGGGAUGCCGGCCUUCGGGUUGUAAACCGCUGUCGCCUGAGACGAAGCGGGAGUGACGGUAAUGGGUAAAGAAGCACCGGCUAACUACGUG
rnacentral:rRNA from 1 species